CUGGAACUGGGGAUCAGAGCUACUCACGGCUGGAGCCCAGAUCAAAAUUAGUGUGAUUUUAGCAAAAUGCAGCCUGACUGAAUUGCCAUUUCUAUUUCAGCACAUCAUGUACUGAACCGCUGCAGGCCACACUGAAGAACUGCCCUCUGGUUGUCACAUUGCUCCCCGGGGUGCAUUCUUCGUCCCCAAAUCUCUGAAGAGCACAGCUCUGUACCCUGAAGGCUGGCAGGACUUACUUAGGAAAACUAUCGCUUUGAGGCCCACACAGCCUAGAAAAACACGAUGAACUUGGUGACCAGAUGAUACCAUUUAACAUAUGAUUCUACAGCAGAACCUCCGACUAUGAACAUCCUAUUGCGAAUAUCCUAUACAGAAUCAGGCAUAAGGGUCAGCUUUGGAAAGACUCGGCUUUGACCUGCUUACGUACCACUCACUCCCUCGGUUCCCCGAAACACCUCUCCCAGAAGCUCCAGAUCAGUUGCUGGGUGUUAAAUGAGAUCCAAAACAUCAGGCCCAGAGCACAGUGACUGCCUGAGCAGGACCAAGUGACUGAGAAAAGAAGCAAAGGUAGGUUGUGGGUGGUCUGGGGGAUGGUGGCAACAGUUGGGAGGCCUAGUGGCAAAGAUCAAAGUGGUGACAGGGCUAGGGAAGAAGGCGAUGGCAGAACCUGAUA
ensembl:lncRNA